rnacentral:rRNA from 1 species
AUUGAACGCUGGCGGCAGGCCUAACACAUGCAAGUCGAACGGUAACAGGAAGAAGCUUGCUUCUUUGCUGACGAGUGGCGGACGGGUGAGUAAUGUCUGGGAAACUGCCUGAUGGAGGGGGAUAACUACUGGAAACGGUAGCUAAUACCGCAUAAUGUCGCAAGACCAAAGAGGGGGACCUUCGGGCCUCUUGCCAUCGGAUGUGCCCAGAUGGGAUUAGCUAGUAGGUGGGGUAACGGCUCACCUAGGCGACGAUCCCUAGCUGGUCUGAGAGGAUGACCAGCCACACUGGAACUGGGACACGGUCCAGACUCCUACGGGAGGCAGCAGUGGGGAAUAUUGCACAAUGGGCGCAAGCCUGAUGCGGCUAUGCCGCGUGUAUGAAGAAGGCCUUCGGGUUGUAAAGUACUUUCAGCGGGGAGGAAGGGAGUAAAGUUAAUACCUUUGCUCAUUGACGUUACCCGCAGAAGAAGCACCGGCUAACUCCGUG